rnacentral:SRP_RNA from 1 species
GCGAGACGCGGGGGCGCGUGCCUGUAGUCCCAGCUACUCGGGAGGCUGAGAUGCCAGGAUCACUUGAGCCCAGGAGUUCUGGGCUGUAGUGCGCUAUGCGGAUCGGGUGUCCGCACUAAGUUCGGCAUCAAUAGGGUGAUCUCUGGGGAACGGGGGACCACCUGGUUGCCUAAGGAGGGGUGAACCAGCCCAGGUCAGAAACGGAGCAGGUCAAAACUCCUGUGCUGAUCAGUAGUGGGAUCCCAUCUGUGAAUAGCCACUGCAUUCCAGCCUGGGCAACAUAGUGAGACCCCAUCUCU